rnacentral:rRNA from 1 species
UACGUAGGUGGCAAGCGUUGUCCGGAAUUACUGGGCGUAAAGGGCGUGUAGGCGGCCUUUUAAGUCAGACGUGAAAUAUUUGGGCUUAACCCAAAGGCUGCGUUUGAAACUGGAGGGCUUGAGGACCGGAGAGGGUAGUGGAAUUCCCAGUGUAGCGGUGAAAUGCGUAGAUAUUGGGAGGAACACCAGUGGCGAAGGCGGUGUGCUGGGUUGCAACUGACGCUGAGAUGCGAAAGUGUGGGGAGCAAACGGG